GGGGGAGAAUGGGCAUCCCACCCCAGCACUUUCUAGGAAGAAGGGCAGCAUUUUGAAGGGCUGGAAGUAGAGGAAGGAGGUUGCGGGUAGAAGACUCCAUACUUUCUGUGACGCCUAUUCCUUAGCUUGUGAUGAAUGUUUUCUCAGUAUCCUAUGCUGAAAACAGGAAUCAAGGCUAUCUGUAAUCACAGGGCUAUUUGAAAAAGAGAAGAAAAGGUGUCUUGAAAUUCAACCAACAUGUUUCAAUUAUUUGCUCCUAAGAACAACAGAAGUUUCAACAUUCUGCCAACAGAGUAACUCCUGGAAGAUUGGCACAGAAGAAGGCACAAGGAGAGCCUUUAUAUAACCAAAGAUAUUUUUGGACCAUGAAUUCAGAAAUUCUCGGAGCCACCCAUCAGUGCCUGAGCUUCAGUGAGUCCAUAUCCCAUGUCACCCACGGCAAAGGAGACUCUAAGACUUCUGAAGAGUUUCUUGCUUCUUUCCUGUGGGGCAGUGACUCCACUUCCCAGCAGUAAUGGAAUAUCCUGAAUUAGCUACAUUAAUGUUAGAACCAUUUGGACCUCACCCAGGACUUCAACUACAUUAUGGUUCUAGUAUGUUACGUUUAUGUUCCCCUGCUUUCUACAAUCCUGUUCAAAGAGUUGCUGACUUAACCACAGAGAGGAUUCCAGAACCUGAGACACAGAAUAAACUUGAGCAAUCAUAGUCCAUCCACUUCAUUGUCUCAUCAAAAACCAAAGGUCCAGUGAAGCUCUGGAACUCAACGCUGUAAAGGAGCGAAGGAGCUUCUAUACAGAGCCUGGAUGCCUGUCUCCUUAUCC
ensembl:lncRNA STARD13-AS STARD13 antisense RNA